UGGCGACCGGCGCACGGGUGAGUAACACGUAUCCAACCUGCCGAUGACUCGGGGAUAGCCUUUCGAAAGAAAGAUUAAUACCCGAUGGCAUAGUUCUUCCGCAUGGUAGAACUAUUAAAGAAUUUCGGUCAUCGAUGGGGAUGCGUUCCAUUAGCUUGUUGGCGGGGUAACGGCCCACCAAGGCAUCGAUGGAUAGGGGGUUCUGAGAGGAAGGUCCCCCACAUUGGAACUGAGACACGGUCCAAACUCCUACGGAAGGCAGCAG
rnacentral:rRNA from 1 species